UAGCUUAACUGGUAAAGCACUUGACCGGUAAUCAAAGAGAUGUGAGUUCGAGUCUCAU
rnacentral:tRNA from 1 species